AUGCGCCCAUGCACAUAUCCACCGCCGCCGCCCGGAUGCAUACGCGGCCGCUGCUCUCCUCCUCCGCUCCCCACAAGUCGACGCGUAGUGGUAGGCUGGCAGCAAGAAGCGCAGAUGACGGGCGCAGGAGUAACGGCGCGGGCCGUGCGGCGGUUCUCCGUAAUUCCGGCCGCGUGGCUGCUGCUGCUGGUUCUGUUUUCACGCGUGGCGGCGGCCGCGGGUGAUGAUGGCGACGUGCUGUUGGAGGUGAAGAGCGCGUUCGCGGAAGACCCGGAGGGAGUUUUGGAGGGCUGGUCCGGCGAUGGCGGCGGCUCGUCGGACUUCUGUUCCUGGUCCGGCGUCACGUGCGACCCUGCGGGGCUCAGGGUGGCCGGCCUCAACCUGUCCGGCGCGGGGCUGGCCGGGCCGGUGCCCGGGGCGCUCGCGCGGCUCGACGCGCUCGAGGUCAUCGACCUGUCGUCCAACCGCCUCACGGGCCCCAUCCCGGCGGCUCUCGGGCGCCUCAGAAGGCUCCAGCUUCUCAUGCUCUACUCCAACCAGCUCGCCGGCGGGAUCCCGCCGUCGCUGGGCAGACUCGCCGCGCUCCAGGUGCUGCGCCUCGGCGACAACCUCGGCUUGUCGGGGCCAAUCCCCAAAGCGCUCGGGGAGCUCCGGAACCUCACCGUCAUCGGGCUCGCGUCGUGCAACCUCACCGGAGCGAUACCGGGGGGCCUUGGGAGGCUCGCUGCGCUCACGGCCUUGAACCUGCAAGAGAACUCCUUGUCCGGGCCGAUACCAGCGGACAUCGGCGCCAUGCCAAGCCUCCAGGCGCUUGCUCUCGCUGGGAAUCAACUCACCGGCGAGAUACCGCCGGAGCUUGGGAAGCUCUCCUACCUCCAGAAGCUCAACCUCGGGAACAAUUCAUUGGAGGGCGCCAUACCGCCGGAGCUCGGAGCUCUGGGCGAGCUCCUCUACCUCAACCUCAUGAACAACCGCCUCUCUGGGCGCGUGCCGCGCGCUCUCGCCGCGCUCUCUCGCGUGCACACGAUUGACCUGUCCGGUAACAUGCUCACUGGCGGGCUCCCCGCCGAGCUCGGCCGGCUGCCGCAGCUCAACUUCCUUGUGCUCGCCGACAACCACCUCAGCGGCCGCCUUCCGGGCAACAUGUGCAGCGGCAGCAAUGAAGCAGAGCCAUCCACUAGCCUCGAGCACCUCCUGCUCUCCACCAACAACUUCACCGGGGAGAUACCGGACGGGCUGUCGCGGUGCCGUGCGCUGACGCAGCUCGACCUGGCGAACAACAGCCUCUCUGGCGCCAUCCCGCCGGGCCUCGGCGAGCUCGGGAACCUGACGGGUCUGCUGCUCAAUAACAACAGCCUCUCAGGCGAGCUGCCGCCGGAGAUCUUUAACCUCACUGAGCUCACUAGCCUUGCAUUGUACCACAAUCAGCUCACUGGCCAGCUGCCGGACGCCAUCGGCAAUCUCAAGAACCUCCAGGAACUGUACUUGUACGAGAACCAGUUCUCCGGCGAGAUACCGGAGACCAUCGGGGAGUGCUCGAGCUUGCAGAUGAUCGACUUCUUUGGGAACCAGUUCAACGGGAGCAUACCGGCGUCCAUCGGGAAUCUGUCCGAGCUGAUCUUUCUUCACCUCCGGCAGAACGAGCUGUCGGGCCUGAUUCCGCCGGAGCUCGGCGACUGCCAUCAGCUCCAGGUUCUCGACUUGGCGGACAAUGCUCUGUCCGGUGAAAUCCCGGCGACGUUUGAGAAGCUCGAAUCGCUCCAGCAGUUCAUGCUGUACAACAACUCGCUGUCCGGCGCAGUCCCGGAUGGCAUGUUUGAGUGCCGGAACAUCACGAGGGUGAACAUCGCGCACAACCGGCUCGGCGGCAGCCUCCUGCCGCUCUGCGGGUCGGCGAGCCUGCUAUCGUUCGACGCCACAAACAACUCGUUCGAGGGCGGGAUCCCGGCGCAGCUCGGGCGGUCAUCGUCGCUCCAGCGCGUCCGCCUCGGGAGCAACGCCCUGUCCGGGCCGAUCCCGCCGUCGCUGGGCGGCAUCGCCGCGCUGACGCUGCUGGAUGUGUCGAACAAUGCGCUCACCGGCGUCAUCCCGGACGCGCUCUCGCGGUGCACGCAGCUCAGCCACAUCGUCCUCAAUCACAACCGGCUGUCAGGCCCCGUGCCGGCCUGGCUGGGCACGCUGCCGCAGCUGGGGGAGCUGACGCUCUCCGCCAACGAAUUCACCGGCGCAUUGCCGGUCCAGCUCACCAAGUGCUCCAAGCUCCUCAAGCUGUCGCUCGACGGCAACCAGAUCAAUGGAACGGUGCCGCCUGAAAUCGGCAGGUUGGCUUCUCUCAACGUGCUGAAUCUGGCGCAGAACCAGCUCUCAGGUCCGGUACCGGCGACCCUGGCAAGACUGAGCAACCUGUAUGAGCUGAACUUGUCGCAGAAUCACCUGUCGGGCGGGAUUCCACCUGACAUCGGCAAGAUGCAAGAGUUGCAGAGCUUGCUGGAUUUGAGCAGCAACAAUCUGGUGGGCAUAAUCCCUGCAUCGAUUGGGUCUCUCUCCAAGCUGGAAGAUUUGAACCUCUCUCACAAUGCUCUGGUGGGAACAGUGCCGUCGCAGCUCGCCAGGAUGAGCAGUUUGGUGGAGCUGGACUUGUCUAGCAAUCGGCUGGAUGGUAGGCUGGGGGACGAGUUCUCCCGGUGGCCGCAGGACGCCUUCUCCGGCAAUGCUGCGCUCUGCGGCAGCCAUCUGAGAGGCUGCGGCAGCGGCCGGUCCACGAUGCACUCCGCGUCGAUCGCGCUGGUGUCCGCGGCGGUGACACUGACGAUUGUGCUCCUAGUGAUCGUGCUUGUGCUGAUGGCAGUGCGGCGGCGCGGGCGGCACUCCGGGGAGGUGAACUGCACGGUGUUCUCGUCGACCCAGGGCAACACGAACCGGCAGCUGAUUAUCAAGGGCUCGGCGCGGCGGGAGUUCCGGUGGGAUGCGAUCAUGGAGGCGACGGCGAACUUGAGCGACCAAUUCGCCGUCGGCUCCGGGGGCUCGGGGACGGUGUACAGGGCAGAACUGCCCACCGGCGAGACGGUGGCCGUGAAGAGGUUCGUGCACAUGGACAGCGACAUGCUGCUGCAGGACAAGAGCUUCGCGAGGGAGGUGAAGAUCCUGGGCCGGGUGCGGCACCGCCACCUGGUGAAGCUCCUCGGGUUCGUCAGCCAAAGCGACCACGGCGGCAGCAUGCUCAUCUACGAGUACAUGGAGAACGGCAGCCUGUACGAAUGGCUUCACGGCGGCGCCGGCGAGGGCAAGAAGCGGGUGCUGAGCUGGGACGCGCGGCUCAAGGUCGCGGCGGGCCUGGUGCAGGGCGUGGAGUACCUCCACCACGACUGCGUGCCGCGGGUGGUGCACAGGGACAUCAAGUCCAGCAACGUUCUCCUGGACGGCGACAUGGAGGCGCACCUCGGCGACUUCGGCCUGGCCAAGGCCAUCGCCGAGAACCGCAACGGCGGCAAGGAGUGCACCGAGUCGGCCUCUCUCUUCGCCGGAUCAUACGGCUACAUGGCACCAGAGUGUGCUUACAGCCUCAAGGCGACGGAGAAGAGCGACGUCUACAGCACGGGCAUCGUGCUCAUGGAGCUCGUCACCGGCCUCCUGCCCACGGACAAGACCUUCGGCGGCGACGUGGACUUGGUGCGAUGGGUGCAGUCCCGGGUUGACGCGCCGUCGCCGGCCAGGGACCAGUUGUUCGACCCGGCGCUCAAGCCGCUGGCGCCGCGCGAGGAGUCGUCGAUGGCGGAGGUCCUCGAGAUGGCGCUCCGGUGCACCAGGCCGGCGCCAGGGGAGAGGCCGACGGCGCGCCAGAUCUCUGAUCUGCUGCUCCACGUUACGCUCGACUACUACCGAGCCGGCGAGCAGAAGCGCUAG
rnacentral:rRNA from 1 species